rnacentral:tRNA from 1 species
GUUAUAGUAGUUUAAUAAACAUUGAUCUUGUAAAUCAAAAUUGAGAUAAGAAUUCUCCUAAUAACU